rnacentral:rRNA from 1 species
GUGAGGAAUAUUGCGCAAUGGAGGCAACUCUGACGCAGCCAUGCCGCGUGCAGGAAGAAGGCGCUACGCGUUGUAAACUGCUUUUAACCGGGAAGAAACCCCAGGACGUGUCCUGGGUUGACGGUACCGGAGGAAUAAGCACCGGCUAACUUCGUGCCAGCAGCCGCGGUAAUACGAAGGGUGCAAGCGUUAUCCGGAUUCAUUGGGUUUAAAGGGUGCGUAGGCGGAGCGUUAAGUCAGUGGUGAAAUCCUGCAGCUUAACUGUAGACUUGCCAUUGAUACUGGAGCUCUUGAGUGCGCUUGAAGUGGGCGGAAUGUGCCGUGUAGCGGUGAAAUGCUUAGAUAUGGCACAGAACACCAAUUGCGAAGGCAGCUCACUAAGGCGAUACUGACGCUGAGGCACGAAAGCGUGGGGAUCGAACAGGAUUAGAUACCCUAGUAGUCC